rnacentral:misc_RNA from 1 species
CCAAACUUGGUCAUUUAGAGGAAGUAAAAGUCGUAACAAGGUUUCCGUAGGUGAACCUGCGGAAGGAUCAUUAAAGAAUUGGGUCCUUCGGGCCUAUUCUCUAACCCUUUGUCUACCUUUCCGACAUGUUGCCUCGGCGAGUCGUCUGCCGCCUCACGGCGGUGGCCGUCGGCCCUCGCAGGUCUUCACGGGCCUACGAUAGGCUCUCGAGUGCUCGCCGGUGGACCAUAUCAAAACUAUUUUACACUGUUAUAUGAAUCUAAAAUUAAAUAUUUUAAAACUUUCAACAACGGAUCUCUUGGUUCUGGCAUCGAUGAAGAACGCAGC